CAAUCAAGUUCAAGUAUCACUGAGAUCAUGAAAUCAUAACACUGAACAUUCUGAAUAUUCCGCUCCAGAUGUUUUAUGGUGGUUAGAUAGUAGAUAUCUAUAUUUAUAUAUCCUGUUGAUUAUAUUCAGAUUUCAUGCAUAUUCACACGUUUGUUUUACAGACUGAAGAAGAAUACCAGGGAAUGAUGGAAAGUGAAGAGAUCAAACAAAUGAAGAAAUUACAGAUUGAGUUCAGACAAACUCUGGAGAAUGAAUUGCUAAACACCAUGAAAGAUAUCGCACAGAGCCGUGAUGUUGAUACGCAAAAGCCAGUGGGUUCAGAAGAUUUCACUUCAAGCACAAAACAAAGAAUUCAAGAACAUUCUUUAAAAUGCAAUUGCAUGAUGGACAAACUUCAGUGUCCUCACAGGGGUUUUCACCAAUCAAACCACAGUCUUAUUGUGUUGAGAUGAAUCUUGAUUUUCAGCCCUAGAUGUAAGAGGUUGAACACAACACUUAAUUAGAUAAUAUUCCUCAAUGUCUGCUAAAGUGUAUUGAUAUGGAACAGUACACACUUCUUCCUUUAGCUGAAGUGAUCUGAUCAGAGCAGCUACAUCAGGUGCUGCAGCAAAACCACAUUAUCCAACAAACAAUAACUUUCUGACAUUUCUGCUUAACUUUGUGCACAUUGCCUGUGAAUACUUUAAAGUGGGACACACUUCUUUCAGUAAAAAA